UACGUAGGCAGCGAGCGUUGUUCGGAGUUACUGGGCGUAAAGGGUGCGUAGGCGGUCUGAUAAGUCAUCUGUGAAAUCUAUGGGCUCAACCCAUAGUCUGCAGGCGAAACUGUCGGGCUUGAGUAUGGGAGAGGUGAGUGGAAUUUCCGGUGUAGCGGUGAAAUGCGUAGAUAUCGGAAGGAACACCUGUGGCGAAAGCGGCUCACUGGACCAUUACUGACGCUGAUGCACGAAAGCUAGGGGAGCAAACAGG
rnacentral:rRNA from 1 species